UGGACCGUGAUUAUUGCAAUAUCAGGAGGUGAGGUCUACAACUCUGUAACAUGUGGCGACAACUAAUCCUAACGUUAUGCGUAAUUUCUUCAAGGUCUGGUUUUGGAAAAACCGAGAGCGUUUGCUCAAACAUCGGCAACUUUGCAGAGAUUACUACAGAUAGAAAUCUGAAGCUACCUUACACCGAAAGUUUCAAAAUGUCAUCUGUGACAUUAUUGCAGUGUGUGCGGAGAUGCCUUGGGUGGACCCUGUGCAAGUCGAUUGACUUCAAUAUUCCAAACUUUGACUGUUUUCUAAACAAACUCAAUGCUUCUGAUGUACAUCCCGCUGAUUUGAGAAUCCACACAGGAUUUGUACAUAGUUCCAUUUCAAUGUGGUCGAGGACGUAUGCUGGCUUAUGCUU